ensembl:lncRNA
AUGUGAAAAACAAGAGAGAUAAAGAAUUAUUUACAUUCUUCUCCAGCUCUUUCCCAGGCUUCUGCCUGGCUAGAAUCUCUCGUUUCUCUCUUUGACUGAAUCUGAGACCCACAAGGUGCCUCCAUGGCGUUCUGGAACUCCAUGGGUGAGCACCGCGGCCAUCAGUUACCUGGGCAUGGAAUGUUGCCACCGGUUGCCAGGGGCACUCCUGGUUCCAAGGUUCUGUUGGCACGGAGUCUGUUGAGCCAGUUGAGGGAUUCUCUGCUGCGCAGCAGACGCAGAGCAUCCUUCUUCUCCAUCCCGCAAGGGAAUAAAGAGCGAUUUGGUGGCUUUUGCAGGCCAAACUCUGGACUGACCGUACAGGUUUGGUGAUCAAUUUUCUGUCAGGCUGAAAAAUCUGCAGUGGGCUGCCUAAAGGAACCGAAGGGAUUGAUCACAUCCCUGACAUUCCUUUUUUGGAGUUUGUCCCACUUAUUUGGUGGUUGCUUUUGAUCACAAAACACCAUGAGCUCAGUAAGUACUUUGCAAAUCUGAUUCUUGAAACAUUUUCCAGGGUAGGUCUAGAAAGCAUUUCAAGAGAUUGUAGCAAAUGCAGAGGAACAGAAACCUUUAAAAACUUCAUGUAACUUGGUGUUCUGGAAUUGGGAAGGUUUUGUAUUUCUGGGUGUUAGCAGUAAUGCAGAAAUGCUUACAGUGUGAGCAGCAACCUGCUGGAAUUGGGAACUGGUCUCCUCAUUUUCAAGCCAUUGGGACAGGCUCUUUCUCGGGGAGGUGGCUUAUUGGAGAUCAGGGGUGCUGUCUUUUCCCUGGUGUAAUGUGCUCGGGUGGGAAUGGCCCAUAGCAGCAUUUGGUGUGUAUUCCAGCCUUUGCAGGAGUGUCUUCUGUAUCCUUGUGUGCUGUCAUUGGUGUUGCAAAACCCAAGGGCCAUGUUAAUAUUCGUGGCAGAGAAAAUGCUAAGGCUUUGUUCCCUGUCAGCGUCAGCGAAAGCGCCCUGGAGGAGCAGUUGAUUCCAGACCAGCUCGGAAACGGAGCCGGCUGCUGCCCUCCAGCGCAGGUGGAACUUCUCAGACAGAGCCAACAGACCUUGAGGAAAGGGGCACACCUGCUUUUGAGCCUGACGUCAUAGAUCUCACAGGUGAAGACACCAUAGAUCUCACAGGUGAAGACGAAAAUGCCAUAGAUGUCGCAGGGGAAGAAGUCAUACAGCUCAGAUAUGAAGGUGUCAUACAUCUCCCAGGUGAAUCUUCAGAGCCUGAAGUCAUCACUAUCAGUGACGAUGAGUCUUCUAUGGACAGGGAGCAGAGCCAGCAGCAGCUGAAUCUUUCCAGAACAUCAGAUGAGCCACUGGCAAGGGGAGAUGAAGAAGAACCAAGAGACAUUGAUGAUCAGGAUUGGCUACUAUUUGAUUUCGAUCCUCCAUAUUGGUCAGAUGAGGACUCAGAGGUGAGGAUCCACAUGUUCUUGUCCUUUAUGGUUUGU